GACGAACGCUGGCGGCGUGCCUAAUACAUGCAAGUAGAACGCUGAAGGAGGAGCUUGCUUCUCCGGAUGAGUUGCGAACGGGUGAGUAACGCGUAGGUAACCUGCCUGGUAGCGGGGGAUAACUAUUGGAAACGAUAGCUAAUACCGCAUAACAGUAGAUGUUGCAUGACAUUUGCUUAAAAGGUGCAAUUGCAUCACUACCAGAUGGACCUGCGUUGUAUUAGCUAGUUGGUGAGGUAACGGCUCACCAAGGCGACGAUACAUAGCCGACCUGAGAGGGGGAUCGGCCACACUGGGACUGAGACACGGCCCAGACUCCUACGGGAGGCAGCAGUAGGGAAGCUUCGGCAAUGGACGGAAGUCUGACCGAGCAACGCCGCGGGAGUGAAGAAGGUUUUCGGAUCGUAAAGCUCUGUUGUAAGAGAAGAACGAGUGUGAGAGUGGAAAGUUCACACUGUGACGGUAUCUUACCGGAAAGGGACGGCUAACUACGUG
rnacentral:rRNA from 1 species